GGGGGCUGACCAAUGUCAGGUCUCAGGACAGUGGCUGGCCCAUUAGGGGGCCCGUUCCCCUUCUCUAUAGUCACCCUGCUCGUCUUCCAUCAACUAGGUGCUCAGGACAGUGGCGUGGAGGAUCCGCCUGUACAGCCUGUGCUCCAGCAUCCUGCAGGCCACAGCUGUGUCCAGCCCUGACCCCAACUGCCCCUCCCGCCACCUCCAUUUUACAGAUGAGGAAACCGAGGCCCAAGGGCUUAGGGAACCCUGCUCUGAAGCACAUAGUAGGGCUGCUGGGCUCAGACCCUCCCUGCCUGUGCUGACCUGCCCUCCUCCUGCCGCAAGCCCCCAAUGCCCCGAGCCCACCCUGCUCACCGGCCUCUGCCCGAGUUCCCCGCAUGGUGUGGGAGUGUGGGGCAUCCUAGCUUUUCCCCGGCACCCAGUUCUUUCACUUUCACUGGAGUCCUGCAGGGACAGCUCGGGGACCAUGCAGGCCCGGGUGGGCGUCGGGGCUCACCUAGCUCCGUGGUGAACAGCUGGCACGUCUCUGGGUUGCGGACGGUAAAGGCCAUGUAGACCUCAGGAGCCCGCUUGUGCUCUUGGCAGGCAGCCAGCCUCCACAGAACCCCGACCAGUGACACGAUGGCUUCUGGGCAAUACAGCAAGUCUACGGUGAAAGCUUCAGGUUACUGAAAGGGACAAGUGGAAAGUUCCAGUUCAUGCUGACCUCAGCAGCAGGGCGAGGCCAGAGAGGCAGCGGUCCUAUGAGACUAUUAGAUGCCACUUGACCAUUUGGGCCAUUAGAUGGAAAGGCAAUUACUUGGGUGAAAAAGGAGAACCCUUAGUAGAGAAAGCUGCAAAAGACCGAAGCAAAAGAAAAAAAUCUCCAGACUCACUGGUGUUCCUUAAAAAACCAGCUCUGGUUCUCGGCCUAUCUAGGGGGCUUUGAAUGACAGAAAGCCUGACCCUGCCGUGAACUUCGUGUUUCAGGUGUCUGCCGAUUGGUCUGCUGGCUUGCAGGGGUGGGCCUGUGUCCCUGGCCACCGCUGGACCUGUGGGUUUCAGGGCUGGGACCCAGGACCACAGGCAGAGCUCUGUUCCACCAGAGAGGGGACUGAGUGUGCUGUCAGGGGUGAGGGGUUUUUGGUGGCCCAGCCAAACACCACCUUCUCUCAAGGGCCCUGUCCUCAUCCCAGAACUGGUUGUUUUCCUCCUGUGGUCUCUGAAGGACACAGGGCAUGGCUCUGGGACACAGCCAUGUGGUGACGACUGUAACGGGAGUAUGCCUGUCUCCAACAAGAGGGCUGUGGCUUGAAGGUCACCUUAAGAGGCACCCCUGUCCUUUGAUGUCACCCUGGAGGCCCAGAGUAACUCUUCUGGAAGCCCCAUCAUGUCCAUGCCCGACAGGGUCCAUUGUUCCCUUUUCCCAGAGCCAAGAGCUGGGUAGAGCUGCAAGGACACCGCCUGCACAGGAUGCCCGGGGCUGGGCAUUACCUGCUGCAAUGACAACAUCUGGCUGGAAGGCAGAGAGCUGAUGGACCAUCGCUACGUCCCAGUCCAGCUGGGCCACUGUCACCCUGGGGCUGUCUAAGUUGGCAGUGAUGUCUGCCUCUAAUGAGAGGCCAUUGAGAAGGACAUUCCCUCGGAGCUGCUCGAGGAGCCGGCUGUGACAGUCGCUGAAGAUGUAUGCCCGGGGGUGGCACAUCUUGCAGACGGACAGGCCUGUAAGGCCGGCGCCACUGCCAAGCUCUAGGACCGUCCUGGCGGGAGGAAAGGGGACCGUGUCUUCGACUGCACCAGGGUAAGCCUGCCUCGGUGCCCUGCCCUGUGCCCCGAGGUCACCUGUUAGUGAAGGCUGCCGGGUUCUCGAUGACCCAUUCUGCAAGGUAGACUGCGGCUGCCCUGUGCCCCAAGGUCACCUGUUAGUGAAGGCUACCGGGUUUUCGAUGGCCCGUUCUGCAAGGUAGAGGGCGGCGUCCCAUGUGACCAGGCCUGUGGUACCGUGGGAGAUGAUGGCUGUGCUCUCGGAGAAUGUGACCGACCCUUCCGAGGGCUGCACCAAGAGAGGGCGAGACAGUAAGUCCAGCAAUCAGAAAACAAGUGGCUUAGAAGACAAGUAGCCAUCCACCACAUGGCUGAAUAAAGCAUGACAGGACCAAUCGCCACUCAGCAAUGAGAAGCAGCUAACUGUUGACAUACCAACAGCUUGCACGGGCCUCAAGGGUGUCACGUGGCAUGAAAGACACUCAUCUCAGGCCACACAGGAUUCUAUUCAUCGAACAUUCCUGAGACAACGGAAUUCUGGCGAUGGAGCACAGCUGUUGUUCCACACCAGAACCAAAUGAGCGCAAGAUCUGACAAAGAAAAAAAAAGAUUCAUCUUUUAUUCCUCCAAACACUUUCAUUUAAAUCAAGAGGAUGGGAUGUGGUUAUUGCUGUGUUUUUAGACAGAAUCAACGGUUUCUGGGUCUGAGAUGUUGCAUACACCCUCUCAGUCCCUGUAUCCUGAGAGGGAGUCACCUGAGAAUCCACAGCAAGUCCUAACCAGGGAUGGGUCUGGGUGAUUAAGGAAGAUUGGCUUCAGAACUGGGCCAGGGGCACUGCUUUGCUUUUGCUGUUUUGAUCAGCUCUCUGCCUGCAGGAGACAAGGAAAACCAAUGGGAACAGUUAGGGUCUCUCUCUCUGCCACCCAGGCCAGAGUGCAGUUGACGCAGGGCAGGGGAGCCCCGAAGUGGAGCAUAGUGUGUUCGGAACUGUUGGGUUCUUGGUCUCACUGACUUCAAGAAAGAAGCCGCGGACCCUCGCGGUGAGUGUCACAGUUCUUAAAGGCGGCGUGUCCAGAGUUUGUUCCUUCUGAUGCUCGGAUGUGUUCAGAGUUUC
rnacentral:lncRNA from 1 species